AACGUAGGUACCGAGCGUUAUCCGGAUUCACUGGGCGUAAAGCGCGUGCAGGUGGUUAGGUAAGUCGGGCAUGAAAACUCUUGGCUCAACUGAGAGAUGCUGUCCGAUACUACUUAGCUUGAGGACAUGAGAGGGAGGUGGAAUUCCGCGUGUAGUGGUGAAAUGCGUAGAUAUGCGGAGGAACACCAGUGGCGAAAGCGGCCUCCUGGCAUGCUCCUGACACUCAGACGCGAAAGCUAGGGGAGCGAACGGG
rnacentral:rRNA from 1 species